rnacentral:tRNA from 1 species
GGAUUGUGGCUCAGAGGUAGAGCGCUUGCCUAGCACGCGUGAGGCACUGAGUUUGAUCCUCAGCACCA